rnacentral:piRNA from 1 species
UAGAAGGGUGGGUUGACUAUGACACA